rnacentral:rRNA from 1 species
UACGGAGGGUGCAAGCGUUAUCCGGAUUCACUGGGUUUAAAGGGUGCGUGGGCGGGCAUAUAAGUCAGUGGUGAAAUCCCCGAGCUUAACUUAGGGAACGUGCCGUUGUAUACUAUGUGUCUUGAAUAUCGCGGAGGUAAGCGGAAUAUGUCAUGUAGCGGUGAAAUGCAUAGAUAUGACAUAGAACACCGAUUGCGAAGGCAGCUUACUACACGAUCAUUGACGCUGAGGCACGAAAGCGUGGGGAGCAAACAGGAUUAG